rnacentral:lncRNA from 13 species
AUGAGAGGGUGGUUCGGUGACCUCCAGCAGUCCCUCCCAGCCCCAGCCACUGAUCUGGUGAUUUGGGGAUCCCUCCAGUCUCCACCCAGGCCAGGAUGGAGAAACAUCCUCGGACAGCCGCGUUCACUGGGCCCAUGCCAUGACACCGUGACGGGGUGGAGGAAUGGCAGAACCAUGGAAUAUCCUGAGUGGGAAGGGCCCCACAGGGAUCAUCGAUCCAGCUCCCAGCCCUGCCCAGACACCCCAGCAACCCCACCCUGGGCAUCCCUGGCAGCGCUGUCCAAACGCUCCUGGAUCUCUGGCAGCCUCGGGGUCGUGCCCAUUCCCUGGGGAGCCUGGGCAGUGCCCAGCAGCCUCUGGAGGAAGAACCUUUCCCUGCUCUCCAGCCUGAGCCUGCCUGGCCCAGCUCCAGGUGCUCCCUGGAUGCUGUCCCUGGCCCAGGAAACAGAGAUCGGAGCUGCCCCUCCACUGCCCCUCCUGAGGAAGCCGCAGCCCCCGACGAGUCUCUCCUUGGUCUCCUCCAGGCAGAACAAUCCAGAGGACCUCAGCCGCUCUUUGUGUGGAGGAAACGCCGCGGGAUGCGUGCUGGGAAUGUGCUGGGAAUGCUGCUGGCUCGGUGUGGAGCAGGAGGAGCAGCAUCCCUGGUGUAAUUGAGAUGUUGGUGCCUAUCUCUCGGAGGUGGAGGCAAUCAUCCGCCGAAGCGCUGCGGGACAGAGAGGCAGAGCAGCGGCUUGAUCACCUCCCUAAUGGCCGGUCCUGGGUGAGCUCGGGAGGAGGAUUCCCGCAAUCUGCUCCGCUCCUGCAGGCUCCCAGGGAGCAUCGAGGCCCCUAAACCGGUUAGGAAGCUCCAGACGUUGGCACUACCUGGAUUACAAAGCUCGUCAUGGAGGUGUGUGCCAGGCCCUGGAGAGGACAAACAGAGGAGCCCUUGCCACCAGAAGGCUCCAAACUUCAAGCUCCACACUACAAACAUUAUCGGGAGCUGGUUUUCUUGGGCAAGGUUUCCUACAUGGGUGGGACAGGCAAUUAUGCCAAAUCUCCAAGCUGGAAUAUCCAUCUCCCAUCAGGUUGUCCUCAAGCUGUAGGUCCAGGUCUUCUGCUUGGCCACAAAACGAAAAUUUAGUGCUAAUACACGAGGAAGAGAUAAAUUUUCACUGUUUUAGCAACAGUUUUAAGAUUUUUUUUUUUUUUAGAACUAACAAGAGAAGAAAAAAAGUGAAUCGAGUUUGGGUUUUUUGGGGUGGUGGUGGUGUUUAUUGGGUUGGCCUGCUGGGUUUUUUGUCUGCAAGAGGCCAAUUCACUGUCGUUUUCCUGCAUUGCUCGGAUCUAAGGUAAGGCUCAUCAGAAAGCAAAAGGCUGACUCUGAGACCUCUGCCUCAUUCUUUGUCACAAUUAGACAACUGGUCAGCAGAGGGAUUUGUCAGAGGUUUAAAAAAAGAGAAGAAAGCAUUUCUUCACUUUUGACUGACCUUCAGGAGGUUCAUGUUUUUGCCCUCAAAUAUGGCACAAACCCAGCACUUACAUCUUGGUCUUUUAGUAAUGCACCGGCUGUUCCUCAUCCCCAAUCCCCACAAAAAUGGAAAAAUAUGGAGUGGAGGAGUAUUGCUGAGAAGUGUCACUGGUGAGUAGUGGUUCUUUUGUAAAGGAUGGUUGUGGCUUUUCGAACAACCCUAUUUUCCACUUAAAAAAAAAAAAAAAGGAAAGGAAAAAUAUUCUAUAGAAGUUUUAAACCCAAGGAUUUUGUUUGCAGGUCUCAGCAGGUAGUUCUUGGCUGUGAAGCACCACAAGUGCCUUCCUCAUCCAGAGAGGAGUGCUGGUGAUGGGAGGCUGGGCUGGCCUUUCCCUCCUUCCUCCCACAGGGAUUGUUCUCCCGUCAUCCAGUUCCCAGGAACGUGAAGAAGCAGCGAGGAUUGAUGAACAUUCCAUGAGCAGCAGCGCUGAGGAGAGGCCAAACACUCUGGUGUCCUUAGGCUGUGGCCCUAAGGACCACUUGGACCACCCAGCCCCACAGGAUGGUCCUGGCCCUACCUGGGGGUUCCACCAAGGCACCCCCAGCCAGCUCCUGCAAUGCCUUUGUAGCCUCGUGCUGCUGCUGCCUCUGCCUUCCGUGGGCUGCCAGCAACUGGGGCAGCCUGGGCCAGGUCUGCACUGGGCCAGAAGUUCAUGGAAUCAUGGAAUGGUUUGGCUUGGAAGUGUCCUCUGAAGGCCACCUAGACCAACCCUCAGGUUGCUGAGAGCCCCAUCUAACGUGACCAUGAGUGUUUCCGGGGAUGGAGCAUCCACAACCAGUCCAGAGCUUCAUCCCCUUCAGCAUGAAGCAGCUCUUCCUUCUAUCUCUCCUGAAUCUCCCCUCUUUUAGGUUAAAACCACGACCCCUUGUCCUGUUGCUGUAGGCCCUGACAAGAAGUUUGCUCCAGCUCUCUUGGAGCCCCCUGAGGCACCAGAAGGGCUCUGAGGUCUCCUUUUCUUCUCCAGGCUGAACAAACCCGGUUCUUGCAGAAUUUUCCAUGGGAGGGUUGCUCCAGCCUUCAGAGCACGUUUGUGGCUGCUCCAACAGGUCCCUGCCUUAUUCCUUCGGGAGCCGGCGAUCCCGAUUCACACCCGCCACGUGCUGGAUCCUUCUCUUCCAGCCCAAGGCUGAAAUAAGCCGGGUUGGCAGCGCACGGAGCACCCACGCAGGGCCCGCAGCGCCCUCCCCGCCCCGCACCGAGGCGGCUGCUGCUGCCUUUGAGCCGCUGGCAGGGCCUGGGCGCAGCCCUGAUUAGAUCGCUGUCACCAGGGAACAGGAAGGUUAAUUGCCAUUCUCUUUGUGUGCCGCUCGGAGAGGAGACCAAUUUCAGCUCAGUAGCAACAAAGUGUUGCCUGCUUGCUUUGGAG